UACGUAGGGAGCAAGCGUUGUCCGGAAUCAUUGGGCGUAAAGCGCGCGUAGGCGGCCUUCUAAGUCGGACGUGAAAUCCCUCGGCUUAACCGAGGAACUGCGUCCGAUACUGAAAGGCUUGAAUCCGGGAGAGGGAUGUGGAAUUCCAGGUGUAGCGGUGAAAUGCGCAGAUAUCAGGAGGAACACCGGUGGCGAAGGCGGGGUCUCUGGGCCGAUACUGACGCUGAGGAGCGAAAGCGUGGGGAGCGAACAGG
rnacentral:rRNA from 1 species